GAUGAACGCUGGCGGCGUGCCUAAUACAUGCAAGUCGAGCGAACAGACGAGGAGCUUGCUCCUCUGACGUUAGCGGCGGACGGGUGAGUAACACGUGGAUCACCUACCUAUAAGACUGGGAUAACUUCGGGAAACCGGAGCUAAUACCGGAUAAUAUAUUGAACCGCAUGGUUCAAUAGUGAAAGACGGUUUUGCUGUCUCUUCUAGAUGGAUCCGCGCCGCAUUAGCUAGUUGGUAAGGUAACGGCUUACCAAGGCAACGAUGCGUAGCCGACCUGAGAGGGUGAUCGGACACACUGGAACUGAGACACGGUCCAGACUCCUACGGGAGGCAGCAGUAGGGAAUCUUCCGCAAUGGGCGAAAGCCUGACGGAGCAACGCCGCGUGAGUGAUGAAGGUCUUCGGAUCGUAAAACUCUGUUAUUAGGGAAGAACAAAUGUGUAAGUAACUAUGCACGUCUUGACGGUACCUAAUCAGAAAGCCACGGCUAACUACGUG
rnacentral:rRNA from 1 species